CAGACACUUGCCCUGGAAUGGAACCAAAUUAUCACCAGGGAGGGAGAGAUUUUAUUCCCCUGGUAUGUCCUCAGGAAGAGAAAUGUUCUCUCUUUAUUACAAUAGAGGGAAAUAAAUCUCCCUCUAACUUUAAGUUAAAUGCUAUCUCUAGAUUUCAAAGAUGUUUGCCCUGCAAACCCUUUUGCUCAGAAGAUCUAGACCAUGCAAAAACAUGAUAUUCAUAAAGAAUUAUCUCCUAACAGGUUAUCCCAGGUUUCUUUUAGUUUUAUAUAUUUCAGUUUAUCUGUACUCACUGCUUCUGUUGUCUUCCUAUUACUCCUUAUAUUUGUAUGCUCUGUCAUCCUGCUGAAAACUAUUCUGUGCAAAGUACCAGUGACAUACCAAUGACACAAUCAAAUGGUCUUUUAAUCAUUCUUGACUUUUUGCAAAAUUUAACAAGGGCUAUGCUUUCUUCCCUUUAAAUUCUUCCACUGGUUUCUAAUCUGAUUCUGUUUCUCUCCUCAGCCCAUUUCUCUGUUCUUUACUGUUGUGCUUUUUAAUUCUGUCAAAUGUGAACAUAUCAGGGCUGGGGAUGUAACUCAGUGGUAAAGUAUUUGCCUAGCAUUUGUGAGGCUCUGUGUUCCAUUCCCAGUACUGGGGGAAGGGGUAUUGAACAUAUCACAGGCUGACUUUUCAUCCUAUAUUUUUUUCCUCAACUGCCUUCUACUGAGUUUCAGCUGUCCCCUGUGCAGAUAACUAUAAUUUGCUUCUUACAUUCCAAAACUCACUUGUCUUUAUUUCUGCCUAGAUGUAAUAAACUUUAAAAACAAGAAUAAAUUUCAUGACCUGACUUUUCAAUUUUUUACAGUUGCAUUGCUUUGAAACACAAAGUCAAAAGAAAUUGAGGAAUACUUUAUUACAUGUGUUUUCAAAACCUUUUUAUACUCUCUUUAUAGGUUAUAUGUAAAGUCAGAUGUGCCACUGAACUUGACAAACACAAGUAAGUUCCACAAGUAUCCAAAUCUCUAUCUAAAAGAUCUAAAGAAUUAAUAUUAAUGUUUGGUAUCUAAAACAUCUAAGUAUUUUUAACAGUAGACUGCUCAAG
rnacentral:lncRNA from 1 species